rnacentral:rRNA from 1 species
UACAGAGGGGGCAAGCGUUAUUCGGAAUUAUUGGGCGUAAAGGGCGCGUAGGCGGCCAUUCAAGUGACGGGUGAAAGCCCUCGGCUUAACCGAGGAACUGCCUGUCAGACUGGAUGGCUUGAGACCGGGAGAGGUGAGUGGAAUUCCCAGUGUAGCGGUGAAAUGCGUAGAUAUUGGGAGGAACACCAGUGGCGAAGGCGGCUCACUGGACCGGAACUGACGCUGAGGCGCGAAAGCGUGAGGAGCAAACGAGG